rnacentral:rRNA from 1 species
UCAUAUGCUUGUCUAAAAGAUUAAGCCAUGCAAGUGCGAGUGAUUCGGUGCAUCCAUCAGUAAAAUGAGGGAAGGCGCUCAGGAUGACUGCGAAAGGCUCAUUAAAACAGUUAUUGGAUCUGGAUGGUCAGAAGAAGACAAGAAGGAUAAGGGUGUGAAAAUAGAGCUAAAACGAGGGAGGGGGAUCUCGACGCAACAAUAUCAUUUGUGUGGUAUUGGAAUGAAGAAGGGAUUUCUAGAAUUUCAUAGAGAUAUGAGAGGGAGCAUGUGAAUAUUUGACCUAUCAACUGGGGAUGGUAGUAUAGGGGACUACGAUGGUGGUGACGGGUGACGGAGGAUCAGGGUUUGGUACCGGAGAGGGGGCCUGAGAGAUGGCCACCACUUCUAAGGAAGGCAGCAGGCGCGAAAAUUACCCAAUGUUGGAACAGUGAGGUAGUGACAAGGAAUAACUGCCAAAUAGCCAAUAGGUUGUUUGAUGGUAAUGGAAGGAGGAUAGAGAGGUUCUUGAGUAACGAUCAGAGGGAAAGUCUGGUGCCAGCAGCCGCGGUAAUUCCAGCUCUGAAAGCGUAUACUAGAGUUGUUGCGGUUAAAAAGCUCGUAGUUGGGAGAAGGAGACAUUGAGAAAAAUAGAGUGUUUAAGGGUGAAGUGGGAGAGCACAGGACGUCCUGAGGAGAGAAUCGAUGAGAGUAGACACUUUCCAGGGAGAGAAUAGAAACAAUAGAGGAUAUUAGUAUUUUAUAGUUAGAGGUGAAAUUCUAUGAUUUAUGAAAGACUAACAGGGGCGAAAGCAUUUAUCUCUUGUAUGUUUAUUGAUAAAGAACGAAAGUUAGGGGAUCGAAGAUGAUUAGAUACCGUCGUAGUCCUAGACUAUAAACAAUACUAACUAUGGAUUUGGGGGGCCAUGGAAGAAAACACUUCUUUCACGGGGCGCGUGAGGACAUUGCGAGAAAUCAUUGAGUAUUUGAGUUCCGGGGGGAGUAUGGUUGCAAGACUGAAACUUAAAGGAAUUGACGGAGGGGCACCACAAGGCGUGGAGCUUGCGGCUUAAUUUGACUCAACACGGAGAAACUUACCAGACCAAGACAUCAUUGAGGAUUGACAGACGAGGAGGUUUUUCGAGAUAGGAUGGGAGGUGGUGCAUGGCCGUUCUUAGUUGGUGGAGUGAUUUGUCAGGUUAAUUCCGAUAACGAACGAGAUUUUAGUGGAAGAGACGUCGUUGAGAGGGAAAUCUCUUUGUGAUGGUUAUUUCAGAUGGAUAGGAAAAUAAACUAUAGGAAGAUUAAAGUGAUAACAGGUCUGUGAUGCCCUUAGAUGGUUUGGGCUGCACGCGUGCUACAAUGAUAGAGACAGAGAUCCACUCUCGCUUUUUAUUGAGAGAGAGAUUGACGCAUCGAAGGAUGGGUUGAAAGGAUGGAGAAUCUAUCAUGUUAGGGGAUUAACGAUUGGAAUUAUUCGUUAUGAACACGGAAUGCCUAGUAAGUAUAAGUCAACAGGUUAUAUUGAUUAGGUCCCUGCCUCUUGUACACACCGCCCGUCGCUGCUACCGAUUGAAUAGUAAAUGUGAAAUGGGAGGACUGGCCACUACUCUUUUGUAAUGGAAAGGAAAACUAUUGAAUGUUUAUAUUUAGAGGAAGCAAAAGUCGUAACAAGGUUUCC